CAGCCGCCGCGGUAAUACGUAGGGUGCGAGCGUUAAUCGGAAUUAUUGGGCGUAAAGCGCGCGCAGGUGGUUUAAUAAGUCUGAUGUGAAAGCCCCCGGCUCAACCGGGGAGGGUCAUUGGAAACUGUUAAACUUGAGUGCAGGAGAGAAAAGUGGAAUUCCUAGUGUAGCGGUGAAAUGCGUAGAGAUUAGGAGGAACACCAGUGGCGAAGGCGGCUUUUUGGCCUGUAACUGACACUGAGGCGCGAAAGCGUGGGGAGCAAACAGGAUUAGAUACCCCUGUAGUCCCUGUCUCUUAUAC
rnacentral:rRNA from 1 species